AAGCGACUCUCGGCAACGGAUAUCUCGGCUCUCGCAUCGAUGAAGAACGUAGCGAAAUGCGAUACUUGGUGUGAAUUGCAGAAUCCCGUGAACCAUCGAGUCUUUGAACGCAAGUUGCGCCCGAAGCCUUUAGGCCGAGGGCACGCCUGCCUGGGCGUCACAC
rnacentral:rRNA from 1 species